UGGGGAAUAUUGCGCAAUGGGGGGAACCCUGACGCAGCCAUGCCGCGUGAAUGAAGAAGGCCUUAGGGUUGUAAAGUUCUUUCGGUAUUGAGGAAGGUUGAUGUGUUAAUAGCACAUCAAAUUGACGUUAAAUACAGAAGAAGCACCGGCUAACUCCGUGCCAGCAGCCGCGGUAAUACGGAGGGUGCGAGCGUUAAUCGGAAUAACUGGGCGUAAAGGGCACGCAGGCGGUUAUUUAAGUGAGGUGUGAAAGCCCCGGGCUUAACCUGGGAAUUGCAUUUCAGACUGGGUAACUAGAGUACUUUAGGGAGGGGUAGAAUUCCACGUGUAGCGGUGAAAUGCGUAGAGAUGUGGAGGAAUACCGAAGGCGAAGGCAGCCCCUUGGGAAUGUACUGACGCUCAUGUGCGAAAGCGUGGGGAGCAAACAGGAUUAGAUACCCCGGUAGUCCACGCUGUAAACGCUGUCGAUUUGGGGGUUGGGGUUUAACUCUGGCGCCCGUAGCUAACGUGAUAAAUCGACCGCCUGGGGAGUACGGCCGCAAGGUUA
rnacentral:rRNA from 1 species